rnacentral:rRNA from 1 species
GUGAACGCUGGCGGCGUGCCUAACACAUGCAAGUCGAACGAUGAUAGAGAGCUUGCUCUCUUGAUUAGUGGCGCACGGGUGAGUAUACCAUAGAUAAUGUACCUCUUAGUUCGGGAUAGCCACUGGAAACGGUGAUUAAUACCGGAUACUCCUUCUUACUCUAAGGUAAGUCGGGAAAGUUUUUUCGCUAAGAGAUCAGUCUAUGUCCUAUCAGCUAGUUGGUGAGGUAAUGGCUCACCAAGGCUAUGACGGGUAUCUGGUUUGAGAGGAUGAUCCGACACACUGGAACUGAGACACGGUCCAGACUCCUACGGGAGGCAGCAGUGAGGAAUAUUGCACAAUGGAGGAAACUCUGAUGCAGCAACGCCGCGUGGAGGAUGACGCAUUUCGGUGUGUAAACUCCUUUUAAGAGGGGAGAUAAUGCCGGUACCUCUUGCAUACGCACCGGCUCCCUCCGU